rnacentral:tRNA from 2 species
CGGGGUUUAGCGCAGUUUGGUAGCGCACAUGGUUUGGGACCAUGGGGCCGGGGGUUCAAAUCCCUCAACCCCGACCA